rnacentral:lncRNA from 1 species
AUGCUCAAUUUUCUCAAUUGCCUCAAAAGGUGGUUUUUUAGGCCAUGUUUAUUGCAUCUAGGACCCGAAAUGUAUCCUGAGGCCCUCCAGCCGCUCUCUCAAGAGUUCUGUUGGCCCACAGGUCCCACUGGCCGUUUUUCAUCAUUGGUGAAGUUGCUGACGCGUUCGUUCACUAGAGUUUGCCACCUCCUGGGUGCAGCCUGGGGGCUCCUGACGACGACACACAAGAUAUUCCUAUUGCGCAGGAGAGAACAACGGUUGUGGGAGUUCUGUGGGAGGAACAGUGCACAAUAGACAAAAACUAAAUAAAUUUCUUCUUAUACCGUGUUACUGAGCAUAAAGCUGGAAUAUGAUUCGCACCGUGAGCGAUCAGCUAAGAAAUUUGGAAAGACUUGCAGGAAAAAUCUCAAUAUCAUACAGAGAAGCAGAACUCAGUAUAUACGUUUUCAAGGUAAAUAGAACUCAUUUUCAUGGCCAGUUGACAGCAUCAUUUAUUGCAUAUAGUUUAUCCUAACUUUGCCUUUGUAAUUGGGGUGACCAUGUGUGUUCAUUUCCUGAUUUUAUCCAGAGGAAAAACAUACUUCUUUGAUUUGUAUGACAGGAAUGCGGGCAUGAGGGAGCCUAGGUGGCAGACGGCCUGUGUGGUCCUCGAAGGGAUGCGUCCAUGGGUGACAAAGCCCUUACACGUUCUCUAAGUCAAAUGAUACAAAAAAAUGGAUGGGGGAGAGUCUCUCCCCAGUAUUAACAGGGGGGACUAAGCCUCUUAUUUCUAAUUUGUAUUUCACACACCUGAAAACACAAAAGUGUAGAUGACAUUCGAGCAGGUGACAGACCUACUUAAGAUCACCUCCAUAAAUAAUCUUCCAGGGAGGGACAGGGGUCUCAAUGCUCUAGGCAGUCUGCUCAGACAUACAGACAGGUUACUGGUUAACCAGUAGUUUUCCCUUCUGUCCUGUGUAUAAACAGUUCUGAAAAGUCCCCUUUGACUCUGACAUUUGUUCCUUGACGAUAAGCUUCAAACUUCCUCCCUGGCGUACGUAGACCUUCUUUCCUCACUUUUCCUUCCAUCUGCAGAAUUCUGAGCUGGCUAAAAUUCCUGUGUCCCUCGAGUUUAUAGAUUUUUGUGCAGGAGAUAACACUCUGGUAAAUGGACAUUCAACCUGGCUUUGUUAGAAUCUGUGGCACUCUCAGGGCAC